rnacentral:rRNA from 1 species
GUGUCAGCAGCCGCGGUAAGACGAGGGGUCCUAGCGUUGUUCGGAAUCAUUGGGCGUAAAGCGUAGGUAGGCGGCUAUUUAAGUCAGGUGUGAAAGCCCCGGGCUCAACCCGGGAAGUGCAUUUGAUACUGGAUAGCUUGAGUAUGGGAGAGGAUAGUGGAAUUCCUGGUGUAGUGGUGAAAUACGUAGAUAUCAGGAGGAACACCGGUGGCGAAGGCGGCUAUCUGGCCCUAUACUGACGCUGAGCUACGAAAGCGUGGGGAGCAAACAGGAUUAGAUACCCUGGUAGUCCACGCCGUAAACGAUGGAUACUUGGUGUUGGAGGUAUUGACCCCUUCAGUGCCGAAGCUAACGCGUUAAGUAUCCCGCCUGGGGAGUACGGCCGCAAGGUUAAA